UUAAAACGUAAAUAUAUUUAUUAAAGUAGUAUUAGUUAUGUUCUUGAAAUUUAAAGAUUUUGGCGGUAUUUUAGUCUAUUCAGAGGAACCUGUUCUAUAAUUGAUAGUCCACGAUUUAUUAUAUUUAAUUUAUUAAUUUGUAUAUCGUCGUUUUUAAAAAUUUUAUAAGAAUUUAAAUUUUUAAGAUUUUUUAUUAAAAAAUAAUUCAGAUCAAGGUGCAGUUUAUAAUUAAGAAGAAAUGGGUUACAAUAAAUUUAUUUAUUAUGGAUUUUUAUAUGAAAAAUUAUUAUAAAAGAGGAUUUGAUAGUAAUAAAAUUAAAUUAAAUUUUUUGAUUUUAGCUCUAAAAUAUGU
rnacentral:rRNA from 1 species